rnacentral:rRNA from 1 species
AUUUUGCGCAGCUUAGGUGGGAGGCUAUGAACCUUUUCUUCUGGGAGGAGGGGAGCCAUCAGUGAGAUACCACUCUUGGUAAGCUAGAGCGCUCAGUCUUCACCGUCAUCCGGUAAGACGAUAGUUUCAGGCGGGCAGUUUGACUGGGGCAGUCACCUCCCAAAAGGUAAUGGAGGUGUGCAAAGGUUCCCUCAGGCUGGACGGAAAUCAGCCAUAGAGUGUAAAAGCAUAAGGGAGCUUGACUGCGAGACUGACAUGUCAAGCAGAGACGAAAGUCGGCUUUAGUGAUCCGACGGUGCUGUGUGGAAAGGCCGUCGCUCAACGGAUAAAAGUUACUCUAGGGAUAAC